AAAGCAAGUCAACUUCUGCAUGGAAAAAAUUAUUGAUAUAUAAACACUGAUAUUCCAUGCAUGUAUACAAUUGAACGAGAUUAUGACCAAUUACUCUAAAGAAAAGCAUCUUUUUUUACAAGAAUAGAGAGAAACCUUGAUAUAGACCACUCCUUGGUUAUUGAAAGGAAUUGAUGGUGAGAGAAUCAGGACCAUUAAAGAACAAAACAGAACCUUUAAUUGGAAACUUGGAAUUGUGCUAGCAUAUGCUGUUGCUGCUCCAACUCCUUCACAGGCAUAUCCAACAGGAGGUGCUCUUAUAACUUACUAUAUAUAUACUUCCAUUUUGUGAUUAUGUCCUCAAACGCAAACUUGGUCCUGAAGGAGUUUGAGCUGCACUGUCAACGGAAUGAGAGUGCAAUUCUCCUUUGGCACACAGAAGUAGAGAACUUGAACGUGCUCUCUUCUAGUUUGCCAAAGGAGAUUUGCCCUGCCAUUUACUUGAUAGUUUUAUGAUUAAUAAAUUGUAAUAACUGUAUAAUUUUCAGGUCCUAGAAGACACAUGCUAUGUUCUUGUAGUAUAAUUACAUAUAUGGAUACAGAAGAUUUUCAAAUUUCUGCAACAUGAAGAGAAAAACAAAAUGAGAGAUGACUCACAAACAGAGGUUAUCCAAGACAACAGCAUCAAGAGUCAAGAAGGCUUAAGUAGACGCUUAUUCACUAUAAUAAUGUGCUUUAAGUUAAUAGACAGACAUUGAAGCUUCAGUUAGCAAUUUUGUUCUUUGCAUUGCUAAUGUACAAUUUAUAAGUAAGCUAUAAAAUAUUAAAAUUAACU